rnacentral:rRNA from 1 species
AACGAACGCUGGCGGCAGGCCUAACACAUGCAAGUCGAGCGAGACCUUCGGGUCUAGCGGCGGACGGGUGAGUAACGCGUGGGAACGUGCCCUUUUCUACGGAAUAGCCUCGGGAAACUGAGCGUAAUACCGUAUAUGCCCUUUGGGGGAAAGAUUUAUCGGAGAAGGAUCGGCCCGCGUUGGAUUAGGUAGUUGGUGGGGUAAUGGCCUACCAAGCCUACGAUCCAUAGCUGGUUUGAGAGGAUGAUCAGCCACACUGGGACUGAGACACGGCCCAGACUCCUACGGGAGGCAGCAGUGGGGAAUCUUAGACAAUGGGGGCAACCCUGAUCUAGCCAUGCCGCGUGAGUGAUGAAGGCCUUAGGGUUGUAAAGCUCUUUCAGCUGGGAAGAUAAUGACGGUACCAGCAGAAGAAGCCCCGGCUAACUCCGUG